rnacentral:lncRNA from 1 species
CCUGGACCAUUCGUUCCCUGCCCCUCUCCCCUUCACUAGCAGAGCACUGCUCCCUGCCAUGGGCACAGCUAGCUCAAGGAGAUGAUCCAGUGGAAAAGUAAGGGUAUCUUUUUGCUGACUUUCAUUUGGAUUUGCUCCAUGCUCUGGCUGUCUGCAUGGCUGUGCAAGAGCUGGUUCUGGUGCAAAGCAGAGGACACAAGCAUGUGGGAAGGAGCAGAGGGCAGACAGAGAGGGACCUUUCCUUGGUCCAUGGCAACUGGAUGGUUGUGGAAUUCUUAUGAUCUGGGCCAGCUGUCCACAAAAAGGCAACAAAAACACCCAAGAUUUCUCUAUGCCACCUGUCUCCAUAAGCAGAAUAUUCAACACGCAGCGACUGAACCCAUGAGGGAACAGCAGCAUGAGCACCAGUGAUGCAGUAUAUCUUCAGUAACCAUGCUGUUUUGGG